UUUACUUUUCCAGAACAUUUGAAAUAAAGUUCACUAUGUGAUGAUGAUCCUAUUAUUAAGCAAACUUUUCCUGAUGAUAUGUUUAUAUAUUUUUAAAAGGCUAACCAAUCAGCGAUCAAUGAUGUGAAGAAAGAGUAUUGUGUUGGUCUGAAAUUGGAUCACUACAAAAAAAAAUGCACACAAAAUAAGUAAAUCAUGUGGCUCAAAUAAACAAAUGAGAUUUAGGUGACACAUGGACUGUAUGGUUUUCACCAAAAAAGCAACUGGAAAAUGACCAUACAGUUUCAAUUGGAGAGUUGUGCACCCGACCUUAUGAAUCAUCUUGAGUUUCUGGGCUGAUUUUUAAAUUAUGAAUGAAGUUGAGGCCAUGUCCUUGGGAUUACAAGGCUUUGGCUUUCCGGAGGUAAGGCUUUUUGUAGCUUGUUGUGGUGUGUGGUGUGACAGAAGAAAGGACAAAAUAUUGGGAUGUUGUCUUGAAGCGGCAAGGGGAGAGGGAGGACUUUUGUGUUGGGGAACAAUUGUGGACAGAUUCUCUUCUAUGUUAUGGUUUGGGUUUGGAGAUUCC
rnacentral:lncRNA from 1 species